rnacentral:rRNA from 1 species
UACGAAGGGGGCUAGCGUUGCUCGGAAUGACUGGGCGUAAAGGGCGCGUAGGCGGAUGGUACAGUCAGAUGUGAAAUUCCUGGGCUCAACCUGGGGGCUGCAUUUGAUACGUAUUGUCUUGAGUUCGGAAGAGGGUCGUGGAAUUCCCAGUGUAGAGGUGAAAUUCGUAGAUAUUGGGAAGAACACCGGUGGCGAAGGCGGCGACCUGGUCCGAAACUGACGCUGAGGCGCGAAAGCGUGGGAGCAAACAGG